rnacentral:rRNA from 1 species
CUCCCAACCCAAUGUGAACGUUACCAAACUGUUGCCUCGGCGGGGUCACGCCCCGGGUGCGUCGCAGCCCCGGAACCAGGCGCCCGCCGGAGGAACCAACCAAACUCUUUCUGUAGUCCCCUCGCGGACGUAUUUCUUUACAGCUCUGAGCAAAAAUUCAAAAUGAAUCAAAACUUUCAACAACGGAUCUCUUGGUUCUGGCAUCGAUGAAGAACGCAGCGAAAUGCGAUAAGUAAUGUGAAUUGCAGAAUUCAGUGAAUCAUCGAAUCUUUGAACGCACAUUGCGCCCGCCAGUAUUCUGGCGGGCAUGCCUGUCCGAGCGUCAUUUCAACCCUCGAACCCCUCCGGGGGAUCGGCGUUGGGGAUCGGGACCCCUCACACGGGUGCCGGCCCCUAAAUACAGUGGCGGUCUCGCCGCAGCCUCUCCUGCGCAGUAGUUUGCACAACUCGCACCGGGAGCGCGGCGCGUCCACGUCCGUAAAACACCCAACUUUCUGAAAUGUUGACCUCGGAUCAGGUAGGAAUACCCGCUGAACUUAAGCAUAUCAAUAAGCGAGGGAAAAAAAAAAU